ensembl:lncRNA
GGAACAAGCAGUUUAUCACAUGCAGAGCGGAGAGUGCGGGUUGGGAUGUCGGGUUGGACCAGGUCCUGGAUGUAAGCUGGACCCCAUCCAUUCACAGCGUGGUACGUGAGCACCAUGUUUAGAACUGGAUGAGCCACCGGUACCAGUGAAGAGAGCGAAGGAGGGGAGGAGUGAGGGAGAACUUAGGAAGGUUAAAGACCAGUGGAGCUGCUGCAUCCUGGAUGAGCUGCAGAGGUGGAAUGGUGGCAGCAGGAGACCUGCAGGAGAGAGUUACAGUAGUCCAGGCGGGAGAUGACAAGAGCCUGAAUCAGUACCUGCGCUGCCUCCUGAGUGAGAAGAGGACGUGUUCUCCUGAUGUUGUAGAGCGAGUAUCUACAGGUUCUUAACCGUCUCUUUGUGAACUUGUUUUCAUUCAUGCGUGUUCCUCUUUCCUGGAGCAUGUAAAUGUCGUGGCGGAUGUAAAUCCUGUGAUGAUUGAUAAGGUUAUUAAAAAUAUGUGUGUGUAUUCAUGUACUGCUCAUAUACAUGAAGCUCUACGGACCUACGGUGCCUGAACGCCUCAUACUCUUCCAAAGGGUUUAAUAAGUAACCCACGAGGAAGUUCACAUCAUUAUAUGUAAAACGAUCAAACGUAAAGAAGCAAAUGAUCUCGUGACGCUGACGCUUCAUUGCAGAAGAUAUCGUUCCGCGCCACAAUGGACGGAUGCACUUGUAGAAAGUAAUCACGCAAGAGGGGAAUGAAGAAAUACCACGAGUGUUUUUAUUUUUCAAAAAAGAUACACUGAGAGCAGUAACGUAUGAUUUACUUUUAUUUAUUUAUUUCGUUGAAGAAUCCGCCUUCAAUUUUGAAACACUUUGCUGCAAUGAAUGUUUUACCAACCAUCUUUAUGUUUGUUACUUUAUCCAUGUUUGUUAUAGAACCGUCUCUUUAUACGUGUUUGUUAUAGAACCGUCUCUUUAUAGGUGUUUGUUAUAGAACCGUCUCUUUAUACGUGUUUGUUAUAGAACCGUCUCUUUAUAGGUGUUUGUUAUAGAACCGUCUCUUUAUACGUGUUUGUUAUAGAACCGUCUCUUUAUACGUGUUUGUUAUAGAACCGUCUCUUUAUACGUGUUUGUUAUAGAACCGUCUCUUUAUACGUGUUUGUUAUAGAACCGUCUCUUUAUAGGUGUUUGUUAUAGAACCGUCUCUUUAUACGUGUUUGUUAUAGAACCGUCUCUUUAUAGGUGUUUGUUAUAGAACCGUCUCUUUAUAGGUGUUUGUUAUAGAACCGUCUCUUUAUACGUGUUUGUUAUAGAACCGUCUCUUUAUAGGUGUUUGUUAUAGAACCGUCUCUUUAUACGUGUUUGUUAUAGAACCUUCUCUUUAUACGUGUUUGUUAUAGAACCUUCUCUUUGUU